GUUUGAUCCUGGCUCAGGAUGAACGCCGGCGGUGUGCCUAAUACAUGCAAGUCGAACGCGUUGGCCCAAUUGAUUGAUGGUGCUUGCACCUGAUUGAUUUUGGUCGCCAACGAGUGGCGGACGGGUGAGUAACACGUAGGUAACCUGCCCAGAAGCGGGGGACAACAUUUGGAAACAGAUGCUAAUACCGCAUAACAGCGUUGUUCGCAUGAACAACGCUUAAAAGAUGGCUUCUCGCUAUCACUUCUGGAUGGACCUGCGGUGCAUUAGCUUGUUGGUGGGGUAACGGCCUACCAAGGCGAUGAUGCAUAGCCGAGUUGAGAGACUGAUCGGCCACAAUGGGACUGAGACACGGCCCAUACUCCUACGGGAGGCAGCAGUAGGGAAUCUUCCACAAUGGGCGCAAGCCUGAUGGAGCAACACCGCGUGAGUGAAGAAGGGUUUCGGCUCGUAAAGCUCUGUUGUUAAAGAAGAACACGUAUGAGAGUAACUGUUCAUACGUUGACGGUAUUUAACCAGAAAGUCACGGCUAACUACGUGCCAGCAGCCGCGGUAAUACGUAGGUGGCAAGCGUUAUCCGGAUUUAUUGGGCGUAAAGAGAGUGCAGGCGGUUUUCUAAGUCUGAUGUGAAAGCCUUCGGCUUAACCGGAGAAGUGCAUCGGAAACUGGAUAACUUGAGUGCAGAAGAGGGUAGUGGAACUCCAUGUGUAGCGGUGGAAUGCGUAGAUAUAUGGAAGAACACCAGUGGCGAAGGCGGCUACCUGGUCUGCAACUGACGCUGAGACUCGAAAGCAUGGGUAGCGAACAGGAUUAGAUACCCUGGCAGUCCAUGCCGUAAACGAUGAGUGCUAGGUGUUGGAGGGUUUCCGCCCUUCAGUGCCGGAGCUAACGCAUUAAGCACUCCGCCUGGGGAGUACGACCGCAAGGUUGAAACUCAAAGGAAUUGACGGGGGCCCGCACAAGCGGUGGAGCAUGUGGUUUAAUUCGAAGCUACGCGAAGAACCUUACCAGGUCUUGACAUCUUGCGCCAACCCUAGAGAUAGGGCGUUUCCUUCGGGAACGCAAUGACAGGUGGUGCAUGGUCGUCGUCAGCUCGUGUCGUGAGAUGUUGGGUUAAGUCCCGCAACGAGCGCAACCCUCGUUACUAGUUGCCAGCAUUAAGUUGGGCACUCUAGUGAGACUGCCGGUGACAAACCGGAGGAAGGUGGGGACGACGUCAGAUCAUCAUGCCCCUUAUGACCUGGGCUACACACGUGCUACAAUGGACGGUACAACGAGUCGCGAACUCGCGAGGGCAAGCAAAUCUCUUAAAACCGUUCUCAGUUCGGACUGCAGGCUGCAACUCGCCUGCACGAAGUCGGAAUCGCUAGUAAUCGCGGAUCAGCAUGCCGCGGUGAAUACGUUCCCGGGCCUUGUACACACCGCCCGUCACACCAUGAGAGUUUGUAACACCCAAAGUCGGUGGGGUAACCUUUUAGGAGCCAGCCGCCUAAGGUGGGACAGAUGAUUAGGGUGAAGUCGUAACAAGGUAACC
rnacentral:rRNA from 1 species